GGGGAUUUAGCUCAGCGGUAGAGUGCUUGCCUAGCAAGCACAAGGCCCUGGGUUCGAUCCCCAGCUCUG
rnacentral:tRNA from 1 species